GCCAUUACCAUCUUACUGGGCAGCAUUGGAUGUUUUCUGCUUUUCUAAUACUGCCUGGUAAUGAUGAUGAUGGU
rnacentral:pre_miRNA from 2 species